rnacentral:misc_RNA from 1 species
AAAGGUCGUAACAAGGUUUUCCCGUAGGUGAAACCCUGCGGAAGGAUCAUUAAUGAGAUCAUGCCCUUCGGGGUUAGACCUCCCACCCCCAUGUUUACCGUACCCGUUGCUUUGGCGGUCCCGUCGCAAGACGGGCCCGCCAGAGGACCUUUGAAACCCGGUAUUAUCAUUGUCGUCUGAGUACUAUCAAUAGGUUUAAAACCU